rnacentral:rRNA from 1 species
UACUCCUACGGGAGGCAGCAGUGGGGAAUAUUGGACAAUGGGGGGAACCCUGAUCCAGCCAUGCCGCGUGUGUGAAGAAGGCCUUAUGGUUGUAAAGCACUUUAAGCGAGGAGGAGGCUACUGAGACUAAUACUCUUGGAUAGUGGACGUUACUCGCAGAAUAAGCACCGGCUAACUCUGUGCCAGCAGCCGCGGUAAUACAGAGGGUGCGAGCGUUAAUCGGAUUUACUGGGCGUAAAGCGUGCGUAGGCGGCUUUUUAAGUCGGAUGUGAAAUCCCCGAGCUUAACUUGGGAAUUGCAUUCGAUACUGGGAAGCUAGAGUAUGGGAGAGGAUGGUAGAAUUCCAGGUGUAGCGGUGAAAUGCGUAGAGAUCUGGAGGAAUACCGAUGGCGAAGGCAGCCAUCUGGCCUAAUACUGACGCUGAGGUACGAAAGCAUGGGGAGCAAACAGGAUUAGAUACCCUGGUAGUCCAUGCCGUAAACGAUGUCUACUAGCCGUUGGGGCCUUUGAGGCUUUAGUGGCGCAGCUAACGCGAUAAGUAGACCGCCUGGGGAGUACGGUCGCAAGACUAAAACUCAAAUGAAUUGACGGGGGCCCCCACAAGCGGUGGAGCAUGUGGA